rnacentral:rRNA from 1 species
CAGCAGUAGCCGCGGGAAUACGGAGGGUGCAAGCGUUAAUCGGAAUUACUGGGCGUAAAGCGCACGCAGGCGGUCUGUCAAGUCGGAUGUGAAAUCCCCGGGCUCAACCUGGGAACUGCAUUCGAAACUGGCAGGCUAGAGUCUUGUAGAGGGGGGUAGAAUUCCAGGUGUAGCGGUGAAAUGCGUAGAGAUCUGGAGGAAUACCGGUGGCGAAGGCGGCCCCCUGGACAAAGACUGACGCUCAGGUGCGAAAGCGUGGGGAGCAAACAGGAUUAGAUACCCGAGUAGUCCCUUUCUCUUAUAC